AUUCUGAGUUGACUUCUCUACAAAUUUUUUCAGCUGAAUGUAACUCCAGUGCAAUUGGUCCACUUCUGCCUUGUGUCGGGCUCGCAUUUCAUUUAACUCUCUCAGUAAGUGUUCGUUUGUGCAUACCAGGGCUCUGGAAUUAAGACAGCAAUUAAUCUCAACAAUGCUGAAAAUUCAGAUGUUACAGAACUCUUGGUAGCUUGCAUCUUUACAACAGCUAUCCACAAUUUUGUUGUCAAGAAAGGAUCAGAUCCAGGACAUCAGGGAAUGGAUUUUUCGGGUAUGUGACCAUCAGGAGACAGGUAUUCCAGUUGGAGGCCGGAAGGUGGAUAACAUCAGUUGUGCAACAGGAUCUACUGAGAAAGCAAGCAAGGCCUCAAAUUUAAAAGCUCAGCUACAAGAAUCACUAAUGACUUGGUGUUAGCCUGCUGGUCCAAUGGCUGAAAUGAGAUGGAAACCUAGGAUCAUCUGUUAUGAAUAAAGCUACCACCAUGAAGCUCUACUUGUAAAGGAAUAAAUGGUGUUAUUAUAACCUUUGAUCAAUAGGGUACUUACCUAACCUUCUAAGAUUGGGUAGCAGGUGCACAACAAAAAGCCGAUAGUCUGAUUCAUUUUUGGACACAGGAUUCAGUCUCAAGUCAAGCUCUUUCAAAUUAGUCAGGUUAUGAAGCAGGAAU